rnacentral:rRNA from 1 species
UUCAGGUAACACUGAAUGGAGGACCGAACCGACUUACGUUGAAAAGUGAGCGGAUGAACUGAGGGUAGCGGAGAAAUUCCAAUCGAACCUGGAGAUAGCUGGUUCUCUCCGAAAUAGCUUUAGGGCUAGCCUCAAGUGAUGAUUAUUGGAGGUAGAGCACUGUUUGGACGAGGGGCCCCUCUCGGGUUACCGAAUUCAGACAAACUCCGAAUGCCAAUUAAUUUAACUUGGGAGUC